GUGGGGAAUCUUCCGCAAUGGACGAAAGUCUGACGGAACAACGCCGCGUGAGUGAUGAAGGUCUUCGGAUUGUAAAGCUCUGUUAAUCGGGACGAAAGAGCCUAGUGUGAAUAAUGCUAGGAAGUGACGGUACCGGAAUAGAAAGCCACGGCUAACUACGUGCCAGCAGCCGCGGUAAUACGUAGGUGGCAAGCGUUGUCCGGAAUUAUUGGGCGUAAAGCGCGCGCAGGCGGAUCUGCCAGUCUGUCUUAAAAGUUCGGGGCAUAACCCCGUGAUGGGAUGGAACCUACCGAUCUAGAGUAUCGGAUAGGAAAGUGGAAUUCCUAGUGUAGCGGUGAAAUGCGUAGAUAUUAGGAAGAACACCAGUGGCGAAGGCGACUUUCUGGACGAAAACUGACGCUGAGGCGCGAAAGCCAGGGGAGCGAACGGGAUUAGAAACCCCAGUAGUCC
rnacentral:rRNA from 1 species